CCAGGCUUGAACAGCGAGUGACCACUCCUGAAAGGGAGCUUCCGCAAGGACACUCGUAGAGGUGCUGCAUGGCUGUCGUCAGCUCGUGUCGUGAGAUGUUGGGUUAAGUCCCGCAACGAGCGCAACCCUUGUCUUCUGUUGCCAUCAGGUUAUGCUGGGCACUCUGGAGAGACUGCCGGUGAUAAACCGGAGGAAGGUGGGGAUGACAUCAAGUCAGCAUGGCCUUUAUGUCUGGGGCUACACACGUGCUACAAUGGCCGGCACAAACCGUCGCGAGCCCGCAAGGGGGAGCUAAUCGGAGAAAGUCGGUCUCAGUUCGGAUCGUCGGCUGCAACUCGCCGGCGUGAAGUUGGAAUCGCUAGUAAUCGCGGAUCAGCACGCCGCGGUGAAUACGUUCCC
rnacentral:rRNA from 1 species